GCCUGGUAGUCCACGCUGUAAACGAUGUCGACUUGGAGGUUGUUCCCUUGAGGAGUGGCUUCCGGAGCUAACGCGUUAAGUCGACCGCCUGGGGAGUACGGCCGCAAGGUUAAAACUCAAAUGAAUUGACGGGGGCCCGCACAAGCGGUGGAGCAUGUGGUUUAAUUCGAUGCAACGCGAAGAACCUUACCUACUCUUGACAUCCAGAGAACUUAGCAGAGAUGCUUUGGUGCCUUCGGGAACUCUGAGACAGGUGCUGCAUGGCUGUCGUCAGCUCGUGUUGUGAAAUGUUGGGUUAAGUCCCGCAACGAGCGCAACCCUUAUCCUUUGUUGCCAGCGGUUCGGCCGGGAACUCAAAGGAGACUGCCAGUGAUAAACUGGAGGAAGGUGGGGAUGACGUCAAGUCAUCAUGGCCCUUACGAGUAGGGCUACACACGUGCUACAAUGGCAUAUACAAAGAGAAGCGACCUCGCGAGAGCAAGCGGACCUCAUAAAGUAUGUCGUAGUCCGGAUCGGAGUCUGCAACUCGACUCCGUGAAGUCGGAAUCGCUAGUAAUCGUGGAUCAGAAUGCCACGGUGAAUACGUUCCCGGGCCUUGUACACACCGCCCGUCACACCAUGGGAGUGGGUUGCAAAAGAAGUAGGUAGCUUAAC
rnacentral:rRNA from 1 species